rnacentral:rRNA from 1 species
GCAUAUCAAUAAGCGGAGGAAAAGAAACCAACAGGGAUUGCCUUAGUAACGGCGAGUGAAGCGGCAAAAGCUCAAAUUUGAAAUCUGGCACCUUCGGUGUCCGAGUUGUAAUUUGAAGAAGGUAACUUUGGAGUUGGCUCUUGUCUAUGUUCCUUGGAACAGGACGUCACAGAGGGUGAGAAUCCCGUGCGAUGAGAUGCCCAAUUCUAUGUAAAGUGCUUUCGAAGAGUCGAGUUGUUUGGGAAUGCAGCUCUAAGUGGGUGGUAAAUUCCAUCUAAAGCUAAAUAUUGGCGAGAGACCGAUAGCGAACAAGUACAGUGAUGGAAAGAUGAAAAGAACUUUGAAAAGAGAGUGAAAAAGUACGUGAAAUUGUUGAAAGGGAAGGGCUUGAGAUCAGACUUGGUAUUUUGCGAUCCUUUCCUUCUUGGUUGGGUUCCUCGCAGCUUACUGGGCCAGCAUCGGUUUGGAUGGUAGGAUAAUGACUAAGGAAUGUGGCUCUACUUCGGUGGAGUGUUAUAGCCUUGGUUGAUACUGCCUGUCUAGACCGAGGACUGCGUCUUUUGACUAGGAUGUUGGCAUAAUGAUCUUAAGCNACCCGUCUUGAAACACGGACC